UUUUUACUGUGAUUGACAGUUUGUAUGAGUAGUAGGAAUGCACUGAUUUUAUACCAUUAAGAACAAAACCAGACUACAAGUAAAAUAAAAACCUUUAAGGGCAUACCUUAAUAGGUUUUCUACCUAUUCAUAAGCAAGAGAGAGAAAGAGGGAGAGAGGGGGAAGAGAGAGGGAAAGAGUUAAAAGGAGACAAAAUGGGAGAAGUAAGGUUAAAAUCAAGUCCAUUAAUACUCAAAAGGAUGGAUUGAACCUACAUAGGGAUUUUAUCUUGUUUUAAAUGAUGCAUCAAAACUUGAACUUCUUUGUAAUUGAUAAAAGAAUAUUUCCCUUUAGUGAAGACUUGACUGUUUUUCAUGCUUGAAAUAUGCCAGGCAUAGGUUUCCUGGAAGACCUGUCAGACUGGCAGAACUUUAGUUUUGUGAGCUAUGAUUUUUGCAAAGCACUCACUAUUGUCUUUUGAUAAAGGUUAGAUUUGGUAAGUGUUUUUUUUUAAUUUAUUUUUAUUCCAGUAGACUAUAAAGAAUUGUGUAGAAGCCCCCAUUUUUAAUAACUCAAUUUCAGAAAGCUCCUAAAUAUGCAUGGAGUUGUAAAGGAACUAUUUCAUCUAAUUUAGGCUAAAGCUUGAAUUUAAGAGUGAAUUCAUCACUUAGGGAGAGGACAGCCACUCUUUCACAUUUUAUGAUACAUUCCAGCCCAUGUUUUAUGUUUAUCCAAAGGUCUAAAUGUCAGCUGUUCUGCACAAUUAGGUUGAUCAUUUGCAAACAGGAAAGCCAGUUCCUAAGCUGCCACCUAGAAAAUAAUUAUUUCAUGGCCUUUCAUUUUUAAGUCCUCAGGGAAUGAAAAUUUUCAACAGUGGUUGUACUAUCAUCCCUUAUAUUUCAGAUAUUCUGAAGUAGAGCUUCUCAUUUCUUUCUAUGUGUUUUCAAUAAUAGAAAUCCUCUCUUUCCUCAUGACUAGGACCCAACAUGAACCAAAGACGGUUACAUGCUAGGACAAUAGUACAAAUAGCCUAUAAAUGGAGUUAAAAGUUUGCUGGUAAUUUACAUUUGCAAUGUCUUUUAGUUUUAUUUCUGCCUUUUCUUUUUGCCUUUUUUGUUGUUAUUAAGUAGUUGUACAAAGGGAUUACAAUUGCUUAAGUCAGGUUGAGUACAGUGUUUCUUGGUCAAUGUCACUUCUUCAUUAGUUCUUCCCCAUUUUCCCUCCUGUCCCUACCCACAAGUUACGUAGUUCAUUUUUUUAAACAUAAUGUACACUGAAUAUAACGACUGCAUUUGCUCACCCUUCUGUCCAUUUUUCUCCGUUUUGCUCCCCCAAACCUGUUUUCAAUCUAUGUAUUUUUUUCUUUUUAAAAAUGAGAAUAGUUUCUCAAAUCAGGCUGGCUUAAACAACAAUGUACUCAAACAGUAUAUUAUUUGUGAGAGGAGGAAGAGAAAUGGAGGAAGGGAAGAGAAUGGGAAAAGGAUAGCACCUUGCUGGGUGGCUACAGAGCCACUCUUUGGUAAGCAUUUGAAGGAAUAUGUGUCUUUAUUUGCCUAUUCCUAGGUUCUGCCUAUUCUGCAUCAUUCCCUUCCCUUUACUCUCCUAAGAAAUUGUCUCUCAGAAUCUGAUCCAGUCAUACAGUCAUAGGGUGGGUAGUGCUUACUAAAUUAUGAAAUUAAUCCUGUGGUGCUUUAAUUUUCAGGCCUUUAAGAAAUAUUUAUACUUCUUGUACUACAGUUUUUAUAUUGACAGCCAAAUACAUCAUUUAUUCUCCUUCACAUUGUGAAUAAAGUGAUCAUAGGCUUCCAACUAACACGGUAUUAUUUUUUAAGAGCUCUAGUUCAGACAGCUACUUACUAGAGAAAUGCAGAUCUGUCUUCUCCUUGACUGAUAACGGAAGCAGAGUUUUUCUAGUAGUGCAGACACAAGGGCAGCUUUAUGCAAACUUAAUGAGGU